rnacentral:rRNA from 1 species
UACGGAGGGGGCUAGCGUUGCUCGGAUUGACUGGGCGUAAAGGGCGCGUAGGCGGAUAGUACAGUCAGGCGUGAAAUUCCUAGGCUCAACCUGGGGGCUGCGUUUGAUACGUAUUGUCUGGAGUUCGGAAGAGGGUCGUGGAAUUCCCAGUGUAGAGGUGAAAUUCGUAGAUAUUGGGAAGAACACCGGUGGCGAAGGCGGCGACCUGGUCCGAUACUGACGCUGAGGCGCGAAAGCGUGGGGAGCAAACAGG